rnacentral:lncRNA from 1 species
CGUUACUGGAGACUCAGGUAUUGAGUAAGCAAGUACCGAGAGAUGAUUGGUAGACACGACCCCGGAUGUGCUUGACUGAGCACUGAUUGGUACACUGAGGGGUCAGGAAGAGCAGUUCGGCUCGAGGAUUGGCGGUGGAGCGUCCCAUGGAAACCGAACCCGGAGCUGCGGCCAGAACUUGCACGGGGGCGGGGCAGGGUCUUUCCAAGGCGCCUGCGCUAAGCCGGCUUCUCGGCGCCAUUUUGUCUGGGCAGCAGUGGCCGCAGCGCUAGCGCAUUUUAUGUUUCUGGCAAGACAAGAGCGGAGUCGUUACCCCGUAGAUUCGUCUCAGUGCGGCACCCGUUCACCGUUCCUUCCAGGAUAGCACCUGGUGAAGGUCAGAGGAGUCGCGGACCUGUCCAAAGUUGAUCUGAAGAAAACAGGACUCUCAAUGACAAAUAUCCGAAAGUAUUACUGAGAGUAAGCUUCAUUUUGUGGAACAAUGAAGGAAGGUGUUCUAGUUUUAAAAGACCUGGAUCUGCUAUCUGUUGAGAAUUCUGUUUCUGUGUGAUGCAUUGUAGGCAUCCAAAUGUUUACAUGGAAUCUUUUUUUUUAUUUAAUUUUUUUUGAGGAAGAUCAGCCCUGAGCUAAUAUCCGCUGCCAAUCCUCCUCCUUUUGCUGAGGAGGACUGGCCCUGAGCUAACAUCCAUGCCCAUCUUCCUCUACUUUUAUGUGGGACGCCUUCCCCAGCAUGGUGUGCCAAGCGGCGCCAUGUGCGCACCUGGGAUCCAAAGCGGCGAACCCGGGGUCGCUGAAGCAGAACGUGCGCUCUUAACCGCUGCGGCACUGGGCCGGCCCUGCAU